rnacentral:rRNA from 1 species
UAGGGAAUCUUCGGCAAUGGACGAAAGUCUGACCGAGCAACGCCGCGUGAGCGAAGAAGGUUUUCGGAUCGUAAAACUCUGUUGUUAGAGAAGAACAAGGACGUUAGUAACUGAACGUCCCCUGACGGUAUCUAACCAGAAAGCCACGGCUAACUACGUGCCAGCAGCCGCGGUAAUACGUAGGUGGCAAGCGUUGUCCGGAUUUAUUGGGCGUAAAGCGAGCGCAGGCGGUUUCUUAAGUCUGAUGUGAAAGCCCCCGGCUCAACCGGGGAGGGUCAUUGGAAACUGGGAGACUUGAGUGCAGAAGAGGAUAGUGGAAUUCCAUGUGUAGCGGUGAAAUGCGUAGAUAUAUGGAGGAACACCAGUGGCGAAGGCGGCUCUCUGGUCUGUAACUGACGCUGAGGCUCGAAAGCGUGGGGAGCAAACAGG